UACGUAGGGUGCGAGCGUUGUCCGGAAUUAUUGGGCGUAAAGAGCUCGUAGGCGGUUUGUCGCGUCUGGUGUGAAAAUCCAGGGCUUAACCCUGGACCUGCAUCGGGUACGGGCAGACUAGAGUGCGGUAGGGGAGAUUGGAAUUCCUGGUGUAGCGGUGGAAUGCGCAGAUAUCAGGAGGAACACCGAUGGCGAAGGCGGAUCUCUGGGCCAUUACUGACGCUGAGGAGCGAAAGCGUGGGGAGCGAACAGG
rnacentral:rRNA from 1 species